AAAUAAGAAGCAAAAAUUUUUGCAUUUAGUUUCGACCUAAAAAUUUGGCAUAUAGCCCUUAUUUA
rnacentral:tRNA from 1 species